rnacentral:rRNA from 1 species
UGACCUCGGAUCAGGUAGGCAUACCCGCUGAACUUAAGCAUAUCAAUAACCCGGGAGGAAAGA